UCUUCGGACCAGAAGGAGGUUAAAAACAUGCUGCUCAACACAGCUGUGCUGCCAGUUGCAAGGAGCCUCAUUCUAGAUCUUUCCUGAGCCUGAUGGAUUUACAGUGAUGUCCAAAUCUCCUGGGGAAUAAGGAGACCACUGGUGGAAGCUCGCCCUGGAAUUACACACACCUGGCACAUUUUAGGAUGGUACAAGGGAUUUUAAGGAAGACCCCUGGCAGAGGGCUCCGUGGUUUCUUCCAGCCUGGAUGCCUUCAGGGGAUGCACAGAGGACCUCAGCUGCCAGCUCCCUCUGGCUCCCUCUGAAACAAUCUGGCUACACCUGGGAUCUAAGUGCUUUUCGUCUGAGAAAAUGCAUCUCUAUUCAGCCCCUCGGGACUUCCCCGAAGGAAAGAUAGGAUAUUUGAGGUGGCCUGGGGAGCUUUUCAUUCCUGUGAUCUUGUAGAAGUCUCCUGAUGGUUCCCCAGAGUGUGUCUGGAUCCCAGUCACAGCAUGGACUGUAGCCAGACCACCUGCAGAAUCCCGCUUUGGACAUCAAUGAGCAGAGCAGCGCUGGGACAGAACAACAGGCUCCCAGAAUCCUACAACAACACAACCAGAGGAGCAUUUCAGAGACCACCG